rnacentral:rRNA from 1 species
GAACGCGUCUUGGUUAUUGAUGUUAGAUGCUUGCAUUUAACUGAUUUAACAUUGAGACGAGUGGCGAACUGGUGAGUAACACGUAGGUAACCUGCCCUUGAAGUAGGGGAUAACACUUGGAAACAGGUGCUAAUACCGUAUAACAACCAAAACCACCUGGUUUUGGUUUAAAAGAUGGCUUCGGCUAUCACUUUAGGAUGGACCCGCGGCGUAUUAGCUUGUUGGUAAGGUAACGGCCUACCAAGGCAAUGAUACGUAGCCGACCUGAGAGGGUAAUCGGCCACAUUGGGACUGAGACACGGCCCAAACUCCUACGGGAGGCAGCAGUAGGGAAUCUUCCACAAUGGACGAAAGUCUGAUGGAGCAACGCCGCGUGAGUGAUGAAGGGUUUCGGCUCGUAAAACUCUGUUGUUGGAGAAGAACAGGUGUGAGAGUAACUGUUCACAUCUUGACGGUAUCCAACCAGAAAGCCACGGCUAACUACGUGCCAGCAGCCGCGGUAAUACGUAGGUGGCAAGCGUUGUCCGGAUUUAUUGGGCGUAAAGCGAGCGCAGGCGGUUUCUUAGGUCUGAUGUGAAAGCCUUCGGCUUAACCGGAGAAGUGCAUCGGAAACCAGGAGACUUGAGUGCAGAAGAGGACAGUGGAACUCCAUGUGUAGCGGUGAAAUGCGUAGAUAUAUGGAAGAACACCAGUGGCGAAGGCGGCUGUCUGGUCUGUAACUGACGCUGAGGCUCGAAAGCAUGGGUAGCGAACAGGAUUAGAUACCCUGGUAGUCCAUGCCGUAAACGAUGAGUGCUAAGUGUUGGAGGGUUUCCGCCCUUCAGUGCUGCAGCUAACGCAUUAAGCACUCUGCCUGGGGAGUAC